rnacentral:lncRNA from 1 species
AUAAAUGUAAACUGGUGGUGGCGGUGAUUUCACUGGAGGGGGAGGUGAUUUGUAAAUGUAUGUGGGAGCCGGAGAUGGGGAUGGAGGAGGUGGUGAUGUGUAGUGGUAUGGAGGUGGAGGAGAUUUUAUAGGUGGGGGAGGACUCACAUAAUGGUAAGGAGGUGGAGGAGACGACGUUGGUGGUGGAGGGGAUUUGUAGUAGUAGGGAGUACGAGGAGUGGGAGAUGGUGGAGGAGGACUUUGAUAGUGAUAAGGAGGUGGUGGAGAUGGAGAUGGAGGUGGGGGAGAUUUGUAAUAGUAAGGAGGUGGAGGUGACGGGGAUGGUGGUGGAGGUGAUUUGUAAUAGUAGGGAGGUGGUGGAGAUGGCGAUGGUGGUGGUGGAGAGUGAUAGUAGUAUGGGGGAGGAGGGGACGGAGAAGGUGGGGGUGGGCUCUUGUAAUAGUAUGGAGGUGGAGGAGAUGGAGAUGGUGGAGGGGGACUCUUGUAGUAGUAAGGAGGUGGUGGAGAUGGCGAUGGUGGUGGUGGAGAGUGGUAGUAGUAUGGGGGAGGAGGGGAGGGAGACGGUGGAGGUGGACUCUUGUAAUAGUACGGAGGUGGAGGGGAUGGAGAUGGUGGAGGGGGACUCUUGUAAUAGUAUGGAGGUGGAGGUGAUGGGGAUGGUGGUGGAGGUGAUUUGUAGUAAUAAGGAGGUGGUGGAGAUGGCGAUGGUGGUGGUGGAGACUUGUAGUAGUAAGGUGGGGGAGGGGAUGGUGAGGGUGGUGGAGGAGAUUUGUAAUAGUAUGGAGGUGGAGGGGAUGGUGAUGGUGGAGGUGGUGACUUGUAAUAGUAUGGUGGAGGAGGGGAUGGUGAUGGUGGUGGUGGAGACUUGUAGUAGUAAGGUGGGGGAGGGGAUGGUGAAGGUGGUGGAGGAGACUUGUAGUAGUAAGGUGGGGGAGGGGAUGGUGAAGGUGGUGGAGGAGACUUGUAGUAGUAAGGUGGGGGAGGGGAUGGUGAAGGUGGUGGAGGAGACUUGUAAUAGUAUGGUGGAGGAGGGGAUGGUGAUGGUGGGGGUGGUGACUUAUAGUAGUAUGGUGGGUGUGGAAUUUCUUUAGGUGGGGGAGGAGAAUGAUAAUAGUAUGGUGGAGGGGGGGAUGAUCUUGGAGGUGGAGGAGAUUUGUAAUAGUAUAAGGUGGGGGAGGGGAUGGUGAAGGUGGUGGAGGAGACUUGUAGUAGUAAGGUGGGGGAGGGGAUGGUGAAGGUGGUGGAGGAGACUUGUAAUAGUAUGGUGGAGGAGGGGAUGGUGAUGGUGGGGGUGGUGACUUAUAGUAGUAUGGUGGGUGUGGAAUUUCUUUAGGUGGGGGAGGAGAAUGAUAAUAGUAUGGUGGAGGGGGGGAUGAUCUUGGAGGUGGAGGAGAUUUGUAAUAGUAUGGAGGUGGAGGGGAUGGAGAUGGUGGUGGUGGAGACUUGUAGUAAUAAGGUGGAGAAUAAUAAUGGACGGGUGGAGGCGGAGAUUUGUACUUAUAGACUGGUGUUGGAGGAGGAGGUGAUUUGUAGUAGUAAGGAGGGUUAGGUAUAGGUGAUGGUGGAGGUGGAGACUUGUAGUAAUAUGGAGGAGAAUAGUAAUGUACAGGUGGAGGUGGAGACUUGUACACGUAAGUAGGUGAUGGUGGAGGUGGUGACUUGUACAAGUAAGUAGGUGAUGGUGGAGGAGGUGAUUUGUACAAGUAAGUUGGUGAUGGUGGUGGUGGGGAAUUGUACUUGUAAACUGGUGUUGGAGGAGGAGGUGACUUGUAGUAGUAAGGAGGUGUAGGUACAGGAGAUGGUGGAGGUGGAGAAUUGUAAUAAUAAGGGGGUGAUUUCACAGGAGGGGGAGGUGACUUGUAGUAAUACGGAGGAGAAUAAUAAUGGACAGGCGGAGGGGGUGACUUGUACGUGUAAGUUGGUGACGGUGGAGGCGGUGACUUGUAUAUGUAAACUGGUGUAGGAGGAGGAG